rnacentral:lncRNA from 1 species
CUCUGGUGUCCAGAUGGCAGGGCUCACCAGCACCAAUUAAUGGAUGAAGAAAAGAAAUCUGCUGCAAUCAGCAAAAUGCUGUGAUUACCACAUGGGACAGCCAAGUCACUGCAACAUAACCACUAUUCUUCGUGGGGGAGACAGCUCCUUGCAGGACCUUCACCAUGGAUAUCAGGUAGGAAGGUACCCAUCCUCCAGGAGCCUGAGGAUACUGAAUGACCACAGGGAGAAGAUUUCCUCCAAGGCCAUGAGGCAGCUGAGGGAAGAUGGGAAGUGGGCAGGAGACAUGAAUCUCAACAGAUAAUUUCCAGAGCUGGGAUAAAAAUAUCUGAG